GACGAACGCUGGCGGCGGGCUUAACACAUGCAAGUCGAACGGAAAGGCCCUGCUUUUGUGGUGUUCUCGAGUGGCGAACGGGUGAGUGACACGUGAGUAACCUGCCCUUGACUUUGGGAUAAGUUCAGGAAACUGGAGCUAAUACCGUAUAGGAGCUCCUGCUGCAGGGUGGGGGGUGGAAAGUUUCGGCGGUUGGGGCUGGACUCGCGGCUUAUCAGCUUGUUGGUUGGGUAGUGGCUUACCAAGGCUUUGACGGGUAGCCGGCCUGAGAGGGUGACCGGCCACAUUGCGACUGAGAGACGGACCAGACUCCUACGGGAGGCAGCAGUGGGAAAUAUUGCACAAUGGGAGGAAGCCUGAUGAAGAAACGCCGCGUGCGGGAUGACGGCCUUCGGGUUGUAAACCGCUUUCGCCUGUGACGAAGCGUGACUGACGGUAAUGGGUAAAGAAGCACCGGCUAACUACGUG
rnacentral:rRNA from 1 species